CAUCGCACACACACACACGCGCACUCACAUAAAUUGCACGGAUGCGGGCUAGUGAAAGCUGCUGACAAGUGUGACCCUGCCUAGCGCAUUGCGCAUUCGAUGUUCGUAUGCACGCUCACGCACUCACGCACGCAAGCGCACGACCGAUUUAUGUAUGUGCAUGCAGUGUGACCCUGCUAUGUGCCAGCAAUUAAAACCAAAACAAAUCGAAAAACGAACAAUCAAAACAAAAGCGCGCUAGAACGUUCGCGGCAAAUAAGGCUAAAUAACAUAAUUAUAGCAAUUAAUGAACCCGCAACGUGCUGUCAAUGCCAAAUGUAACAGACGAAAGCCAAUAUACAGUGCGCCAAUUAAGUCUUCGUACAGCAACAAUUCGUUUCUUGAGGAACCCAUAAAGCAGAUACAUACAUAGAUCCAAGUCAACAUGCCCGUUUACCCAUGGAUCUAUGUAUGUACAUACAUAUGUCAAUAUACCCGCUUACACAUGGCGCACAGUGUAUUCUGAAUCAUCGGCAACAACAAUUGGCGCAUUUCGUAGGCGACGCUCAACGACUUUUGGACUUCCUUUUUUGUGGGGCGGCCGCCACAUGAUUGUCGCCAUUGAGACUGCACGACAACGGCAACGGCAACGUGACGCAUGAGCAUGGGGCAGCAAUAAAGGCGGCAACAACAACAACAACAACAACAGCAGCAACAGCAGCAGCCGCAACAGCAACAAUAACAACUGCAACUGCAACUGCAUCACGCUGACAGCUAGUUGUAGGGGGUGACGCUCUUUAACCUUUAGAAAUCGCCUCCACUCCACUCCACUCCACCCCAUCCCACCUCUCCCAGAGGCAUUGCGCCUUUGCAUUGGUUUUGGUCUAUUUUGGACUCGGCGACAAAUAUAGAGCGCAAUCCCUAAGACGAAUGACCGUUAAUGGAGACAUUUGUGUGGCUGCCAUGCCAGAGUGGGGGGGGGGGGGGUUGAGGCUUCAGCUAUUUAUAGCUCCCACACACUCACACACAUACGCGCAGCUAGCGACGAUCUUGAUCUUAGGCAGCGGCACAUGCCACAAGCAGCGAUUCCGCUCUAUAACAAUGGCCCACAGUGAACAAUGGCUAAAACGAAUAAAAAACAACAACAACAACAAAAAGCCAAAACAAAAGCGAAUUUUCAGUGGCACAGAGGCGGCCACUUACAAGAACUUUAACACGCCAGAGUUCAAAUUAGUCAGCAGACACUCCAUAAAUCAGACAACGGAAAACAAUCAUAAAGAGCCGCUGCUGCUGCUCUCUGGACCUGAGUGGACCAAUAGCCAGACAGUCAACCAGGCAGGCAGCCAGGCAGCCAGGCAGCCAGCCAGGCAGCUGGCUUCAGCAACUGGACAAGCGGGUUGCGUUUGGCCGCCCGCUGCUUGAGAGUGCUCUGGGUGGAGGCAUUAGCAUACAAUUUGUGUGGCAACUUGUUGUUGUCGUGCCAUUGUCAGCAAUAAAUAAUAAAAUUGCAUUGCAAUGCACUUUGCCAGGCGGAUAAAUUGCCAGCCACUAAAUCGCCAAAGCAAUGAAUCAGACUAACUUCGGCUGUGGAUAGGAUCGAUGGGAAGAAAAGCAAAUAUAAGAAUGAGAUGAAGACUCUUUGAGCGUUUUUCCCAUUUACUUUGCAAUGAUGAUUGCCAAGCGGGUAAAUGAUUUACUUUGCGAUCAACUGUGAUGUUUGCCAGGCAGAUAAAUGCUUAAGAAGCUGCAGCAAACAUAAAGAAGAAGGGUAGAAUGGCAGAAUGGUUGUUCCUCUAUUACUUGACCUCGCAUUAUAAUUAUUUACCACUUCAGAGUCGACUAUAUUCCAGAAUCACUUUGCAAGGCACUUUGCCAGGCGGAUAAAAGGCGGCUAUGGCUAUUUCCAAUGCAUACGCGAGUCUUGUAAGCCAUGUUUAUAGGGUGGCAUGGACAUAAGAAAUAAUACGAAAUAAAUAAAAAAUAGUUGCCAUGCUUUGGCGACUGUUUGCUGCUGUUGCUCAGUGUCGUACAAAUUGCACCGUUAAUAAAGUCAAAAUCGGAUUGGACACGCCUCGGCCGACGCCUGGCCCCAACUGGAGUCCAAGUGGAGCUCAGCUGCGCGCCCAUUGCGAAGCAGUUGGUCCAUUCCGCGCACAGAUGCAGUUGGAUAUUUGAUCUGUUGACCAAAAAACAAAAACAAAAAAAAAAAAAAAAAAAAAAAAAUGCCAAACAAUAAAUUGGCACUAAUGAAUUUGAUUCAUUUCGAUUUGCCUUCGGCCAUAACUAAAUCAACAUUUCGGAUCUCUAUCUCUAGCUCCAGCUCUAUCUGUAUCUCAGGCUGCAUAUGUAUCUGUAUCUCAGCUGACAGUUGUCAUAAGGCACAAGUGACCCAUAUGUGUCAGACGGUAGGCAAAGGCGUGCCAGUUACUGGAGGAUAGAAAACCACGUAAGAACAUUACCAAAGAGCUUAUCCGACUACACAGCACCCGCUCACGUCCAUUGGUAGAGCAGAUCAAGAGAACUUGCUAAUGCCAGCCCCAAAGCAGUCUCACAUACCAGCGAAGCCAAUAUGCUCUUCUCAUUGGAGCGUGAGCGAGUAUUAAAAACAUAACUAUGUGCAUAUCUUGAUAAAUUGUACAAAACUGCGAAUUGUAGCUACAAGCUCGUUCGCUAGAUCUAUCAAAUUGAACAAGUCAACAAUUUGGAAUGUGCCGAAAGCACUACAAAAAUAUGUCCUUCAAAUAGAUCAGAAAAAUAAUAAUAAAUGCAAAAUACUUUAAUACAAGCUGUACAUAAAUUACGCUUUUGAUUUGAUUAGAUUAGUUAGUUUAUUAAAUUAAAUGCGCUCAAGCCGAAUAUUAUUCAAACUAUGAUAAUGAGAGUUAUGUAAUAUAGAUGAGAGAUAUUGAUGAAGUAAGAGUGGAACAUAUAAUAUGUAUAGUAAAAGUAAUAUCUGUAUGUAGUUAAUAUUAAAUCAUCUUAUAUAAAAUAAAAUUCUUAGAGUAGUAUAAGAAUGAUACGUAUUUUUGAUCAGAUACUUUUCUGGGGUCUAUACGAAUAUACAAAUAAAUCAUAGAGCCAAUACUCUAUAUAU